UUGGCUCUGCCGCGCCCGGAGCCGCCUCCGGGGCCCCCGCGCCGCCGCCGACCCCCUCUGUGCUUUGUCUUUCCCUCGCUCUCCGUCCCCUGCCUUUGUCUGCCCCCCGCCCCGACCCCGCGCUCCGGGCACUCGCACCGUCCCCGCGGGCCCCGCGCUCGCCGGCCUCGAGAAGCCCGCAGCCCCGUCGGCCCGCUCGGGACCCGGGCAAGGCCCGGAGCGGGAGUGUAUCGCACGCCUCAGGGCGAGGACGAGUUCAGGUUGAGACGCCUGGGGUCCCGGGACAAACGGCGCUCUCGGCGACGCCCCUGCGGCGGGAAAGGAUCACUGGGGCGCUCCUGGGCCUUUCGCUGCCUCAGUUUCCCCCGGCUGGCCCUCGUGCGGGCCCGGCGCUCCGUGGGCCCUGCGGUUUGACAGACCCCGCGGGGGCGGCCCCGUCCGGGAUCCCACGCCCCCUCCGGCCGCUCAGUCCUCCCGCCGCCAGAGGCCGCCCCCGCUCGGCCGCGGGAGGAAGAAGGUAGCGGCGGCCGGCACGCGGUCACGCCACGCGAGGCUGCGAGGCCCGGCGUCCGCGUGCUCUGCCCCCAGGCUACACGAGGGGUCCGGCGGGACCACCACCCCUCAGCGCGUUCUCCGGCGACCCCAUAGAUAAGGGCCCCGGGAGGCUCCAAGGCCCGCUGUCCUGAAGCGUUUCUGUGGCGGGUUUUUGCGGCCGUAGGAACCCCGGGUUCCUGCGGGCGGGCGCCGUGGCCUGCGAGAGGGCACUCCCUUCGGGGGAAGAGAUUUCCAUCCUUCAGACUAGCAAAUCUCUCGGCGCACCCUAACCCCACUUAACACAAGGGAGAGGCCUGAGGAUCCGAAGUGCCUGGUUCCAAGGAACAAAGCGAGAGCAGCAGGGCUGGCGCCAGAAGCCGCGCCCCCCGCCCCUGGCUCCCUACUCCCUGCCCCUCUGCCCCGCGGCGGCCGCGGCCCCAGCACCCCGCACGACAGGUCGGAGGCGCGCAGGAGGCAGUGUGCACAGCGGCCACCAGAUUCUCAAAGGCGCCUGCCCUGAUGCAGGAAGGUGCGGCCCUCCCCGGCACCGGCAGCACGGGGAGCACCGGGAGCAGCAGGCAGCCUGGCCCCCUCCCCUGCCCACGACGAGUCUGCAGGGGCAACUGCGCAGCCCCCACAGAAGCAGCAGCUUGGGCAUGGAGUUUGAGCUGACCACAGGUGAAGCAGCUCAGAAGGAAAGAAAACAGGCUGAUAAUGGUGUUGAGAAAGGGGAACUUGAGGUCUAAAGAGAAGAUGAGCUGGGCCGGGGUUAGGAGGAAAGCUGGAAACAAAGGUGACCUGGCCUCCCCACUCGGCCUCACUGUGGGAAUCCAUUCCCUCAACCCCCGUACCUCAACCCCUGUAACUGCCCAAAGGAAGAGGGGUUUUAUUGCUCGUUUUUAAACUGGUAUUAAAAUUUCUGAGGGAAGGGAAAGUGAGAGCAUUCGAAGGUUCAAAGCAGCUUUAGAGAAGAGGGAGGGGCACUUCCUUAAUCUGACAUUUUUAGUGCCUGAGCCAGAGAAGGGUGCCUCACCCCUAAGGGACCGGCAGGGGGGAAAGUGCCCAUGCAGGCUGGGAAGCACCAUGGAGACGCAGGGCGGAAUCACCCCCUUGCCCAGCCUCAUUGGCCACCAGCCAGGAUGACAGAGAGGGGACAGAUCUGGGUCUUAGGUUACCUGCUCUUUGGGUAUUAGUUCCAGGGGUAAGGAGACACCGCAAGUCAUGUUACAGAACAAAACCCUCCACCUCCUUUCCUGCCAAAGGUGAGCCUCUUCUGCCUCCACUCCUAGUGGCCCCGAAGUGGGGCCUGCGGAAGGGCUAGUCUUUGGCACCUAGGCCUUUCCAGCCCCAAAGUGGUUUGAUGGCUAAGUGAGGCUAAAAUGAAUAGCCUCACAUUUCUGGGUGUGAGGAGACAGCUCUAUGUCUGUUAUGAGGCUUUCUUAAUGAAAGUGUUUACAGCCAUGCUUUUGCGUGCACUCCUGGGACCGCUCUGGGACAGAGAAUGUGGGACUGGGUGACUAUAUGUCCAGCACACAGCAAUGCCACUCUCCAGUGGAUUCUCCAAAAAUUUUAAUUUGUUCUGGCGAUGAAACUAAAGCGGCAUAAGGACUUAAAUCCUCAAGCUAGGCAAGACACUGUGGCCUUGGAGAAAGCCUCAAGGCAGCCAGCAGAAGGCAGUAAGAUGGACUCUUGGUGGGGAAGGGAUGAACCACACAGUGAACUAUGGGAAAGUUCUAGAUUGCAGCCCAAGCAAUGAGAGGGAUAAGGAGGGACUGCCCCCUUCACUUGGUGCUUAACAAGAAAAAAUGCCCUUCCUUUCAAUUAUUAGGGCGUGGUCUGGCGGUAGGGUGGGAGGCAGUUGCUUAUUGCUUGCCCCUCCAUGGACCUAUAGGAUCUGAGAGCAGAGGAAGAGAAUGGAACAGCCUGGUAGGACAGCAAGAGUGAGAAAAGGAAGUCCCACAGUCCCCUGGGUCAAAGAGUCAAACCCUGGACUUGGCCUUCAGCCCUCUGGGGCCAGAAUAGCAUCUCUUCCUUCUGAAGAGGUCGCCUGAGCUCCCAGGAUGGAAUGUCAGCUUCCCGGCCUCUCUGAUCACUGGUUCCUGGGAUUCCCUUGUGUCUCAGAAGUCCCGGAGCAGUAAAGAAGGUUUCUCUUCGGGAA